rnacentral:rRNA from 1 species
GACGAACGCUGGCGGCGUGCUUAACACAUGCAAGUCGAACGGAAAGGCCCAGCUUGCUGGGUGCUCGAGUGCGAACGGGUGAGUAACACGUGGGUGAUCUGCCUCUAACUUCGGGAUAAGCUUGGGAAACUGGGUCUAAUACCGGAUAGGACAAUCGUUUAGUGUCGGUUGUGGAAAGUUUUUUCGGUUAGGGAUGAGCCCGCGGCCUAUCAGCUUGUUGGUGGGGUAAUGGCCUACCAAGGCGUCGACGGGUAGCCGGCCUGAGAGGGUGGACGGCCACAUUGGGACUGAGAUACGGCCCAGACUCCUACGGGAGGCAGCAGUGGGGAAUAUUGCACAAUGGGCGCAAGCCUGAUGCAGCGACGCCGCGUGGGGGAUGACGGCCUUCGGGUUGUAAACCUCUUUCGACAGGGACGAAGCUUUGGUGACGGUACCUGUAUAAGAAGCACCGGCUAACUACGUG